rfam:Gossypium arboreum cultivar AKA8401 contig_37970_3, whole genome shotgun sequence.
UGUUAAAACUAUCGUCCAUUUCUAUAGUUAAAAACUGAUGUGAAUAACAGAAUAACCAAACAGUUACAUGUGACGCGUUACGUAUACUUCAUGCUAAGGUAUAGGGACUAGAUUUUAACAAUAGAAAUUAAUGAAAUUUGUAACA